AGAUUAGGAUCACACAUGUUCGCAUUUUCUAUGAUAAUUACUCCAGAUAAAAGAAUUAUCGAGAAAGCACCAUUGUUUCCACGUUACAAGCCACUAUUCUACAAACUACUAUAAAUGAAAUUUUCAAUUAAUUCAAUAUGCAAAGCUCAACGCUGUAGCAAUUUUCGUGGUCAGCAUAUAAUAAAAGCAAGGAACAUACGUCUUAGACAAAG
rnacentral:misc_RNA from 1 species